rfam:Parcubacteria (Moranbacteria) bacterium GW2011_GWE2_35_2- TR69_C0004, whole genome shotgun sequence.
GGGACCGUAGCUCAGGGGUUAGAGCGGACGACUCAUAAUCGUUUGGUCGCUGGUUCGAUUCCAGCCGGUCCCA